UUCACCCUUAAUCUGAUUAACAACAAGGGUUGAAUCACCAUACACAUCAAGAUGCUUGAUCCUAAGAUCAAUACACUCUUCUAAACCCAUAAUACAGGCCUCAUACUCCGCCAUAUUAUUCAUGCAUUUGAAAGUUAACCUUGCUGUAAAAGGAAAAUGCGUGUCCUGAGGAGUAAUAAUCACUGCCCCAAUACCAUUUCC
rnacentral:lncRNA from 1 species